ensembl:lncRNA
GUUGCAGGGUGAGGCGGGGCGUGGCGGGGUGAGACGGGGCGAGGUUGGACGAGGCAAAGCGGGGCAAGAUGAGGCGGGGUGAGGCAGCGCGAGGCAGGGUGGGGCUAUGAGUUGCGAGGCGGGAGAAGCGGGGCGAGGUGGGGCGAGGCGAGGCGAUGUGAGGCGAGGUGAGGCGAGUUGAGGCAAGGUGGGAUGAGGCGUGGUGAGGCGAUUCAAAGGCUAGGCGAGACAAGGCGAGGCAAGGCGAUGCAAAAGUGUGGCAAAGGAAGGCGAGGCGAGGCUGGGUGAGGCGGGAUGGGUCAAGGUGAGGCGAGGCGAGGCAGGACAAGGAGGGGAGAUGCAAAGGCCAGGCGAGGCGAGGCGGGACAGGGCGAUAUGGGGCGGGGCGGGGCAGGACAAGGCGAGGCGAGGCGAUGCAAGGCGAGGCGGUGCAAGAUGAGGUGCCUCGC